AUUUUUUUUCAACACACCUACUGCUGAUUUACACCAUCCUAGUUUUGUGGGUUUGUCAUGAUAAAGGCAGUAUUGAAUCUGUGCAAAGUGCUUUGAGAAGUAAGCCACAAGCUCUUGUGGCAAUAGCCUUAUUUCUUUCUGCAGACAUUGAGGCAGAGGACUGAAUGUGACCGGAAGAGAAGGAUUUCAAGGAAAUCUUCAAAAUGCAAAUGAAUCACCGAUAUAAACUCGUGUUUCAUUUAAUCCUGUUGUGUAAAUGUAAAGAUAUCAACCCAAAUUUGGAUUGUUAUUUACAGCUUCACAGUCACUCUUAACAUUUCUUCCUGGAGGCUCUUGGGCUUAAAACUUUGUUGCUGUGUUCAAGCCUAUAUUAGCAAGUUUUUUAGUGGCUGUGUUAUAUUACAGCUGUGCCACUUGAGUGAUAUAAUAUUUAUGUGCACAGCAAAAAUGGGUAUCAGAACUUAAAGUGAACCAGAUGGCUUAAGAAAGGACUCUGAACUGGAGGAUUUAAAAAUGCCCUUUGACUGUCAAGAUAAAGCUGGUAACUUUCCAUGGAGCCUUUUAGAAUGAUCCCAGUUUCCAGAAGAAACCCAUGCAGCUCUGGGACUUCAGGACAUAUGGGAUCUGCAUCUUUGUUGCUGACUCCCACUUCUGUUUUAAAAGGCAGCAAGAUAAACAGCCACUAUGGAAGGACUCUCCUCUGCUGUAUGAUCAGGCAAGCCAUGUCUUCUUAG
ensembl:lncRNA